rnacentral:rRNA from 1 species
AUCUUCCGCAAUGGACGAAAGUCUGACGGAGCAACGCCGCGUGAGUGAUGAAGGUCUNNNGAUCGNACAACUCUGUUGUUAGGNAAGNACAAGUAUCGUUCGAAUAGGGCGGUACCUUUACUGUACCUAACCAGAAAGCCACCGCUAACUACGUUCCAGCAGCCGCGGUAAUACGUAGGUGGCAAGCGUUAUCCGGAAUUAUUGGGCGUAAAGCGCGCGCAGGCGGUUUCUUAAGUCUGAUGUGAAAGCCCACGGCUCAACCGUGGAGGGUCAUUGGAAACUGGGAAGCUUGAGGGCAGAAGAGGAGAGUGGAAUUCCAUGUGUAGCGGUGAAAUGCGUAGAGAUAUGGAGGAACACCGGCGGCGAAGGCGACUCUCUGGUCUGCAACUGACGCUGAGGCGCGAAAGCGUGGGGAGCGAACA